AUGGUGAACUUCUCCAAGAAACUAACAACAGACCAGGUUCCAGGAUGGGAGGAGUACUACUUCAACUACAAAUUGCUCAAGGCAAGAGUGAAGGUGUACACGGUGCAGACAAAGCAAGGCAAUCACGACCGAAGACGUGUUCUGAAGGAUUUCUCAAAGCUGCUUGAUGAUGAGAUUGAGAAGAUAGUGCUGUUCAUGAUAGAACAGCAAGGGCUGAUCGCGGCGCGUCUCGAGGAGCUAGGGAAGCGAAGGGCGGUGCUUGAGGACAUCCCACUGCUCCAGGAGAUAACUGAACUGAGGGAGGACUACAGGGCAGUCGGCCAUGAUCUUGUCAGGCUUCUGAGGUUCGUCGAUCUCAAUGCCAACGCGGUCCGGAAGAUCCUCAAGAAGUUCGAUGAGCGUCUAGGGUAUAAGUUCACCGAUUACUAUGUCAGGAGCAGAUCCAACCACCCCUACUCUCAGCUCCAGCAGGUUUUCAAGCAUGUGGGUAUUGGAGCCGUUGUGGGGGCAUUGUCUCGCAACCUCGGCGACCUCGAGGAGCGUGAAGGAAGUUAUCUGAAUAUCUAUGACCAGAACCCACUGGCCAUUCCAAAGGACCCCAUAAUCGACAUGAUCAAGGCGACGGCGGACAAGCUGACCAACUCGACCAACUUCCUGCGGUUCCUGGGGCAGCACGCGCUGAUCAGGCAGGGGAGCAUCGCCGACGACUCGCCGGAGGAGCAGCAGGUGUCGGAGGACAAGUACCACUUCAUCUCCCUGGUGCUCAACCUGGCCAACACCUUCCUCUACAUGGUGAACACGUACAUCGUCGUCCCCACGGCCGACGACUACGCCACCAGCCUCGGCGCCGCCGCCACGGUCUGCGGCGUCAUCAUCGGCUCCAUGGCCGUGGCGCAGCUCUUCUCCUCCGUCUACUUCAGCGCCUGGUCCAACCGCUCCUACUUCCGCCCGCUGCUCUUCAGCAGCGUCGUGCUCCUCCUCGGCAACGUCAUGUACGCCCUCGCCUACGACCUCGACUCCCUCGCCAUCCUCCUCGCCGGCCGCGUGCUGUGCGGGAUGGGGUCGGCGAGGGCCGUCAACCGGAGGUACAUCAGCGACUGCGUUCCGCAGAGGAUCCGGAUGCAGGCGUCCGCGGCGUUCGUCAGCGCCAGCGCCCUCGGCAUGGCCUGCGGCCCGGCGAUCGCCGGCCUGCUCCAGGUCAACUACAGGGUGUAUGCGGUCACCAUCAACCAGGACACCUUGCCUGGCUGGGUCAUGGCGUUUGGCUGGCUCGCGUACCUGGUCUGGCUGUGGAUCUCGUUCAAAGAGCCGGUUCUCGGCGACGCCGACGAAGAAGGUCGCCGUCAGGGCUCCUCUGGCGGCUCCUCCAGCUUAGGAUACCGGAAGCAAGGGCUUGCGGGUGAAUACCUGCUGAAGCAGGACGCUCAGGGCGAGAGCGACCAGGAGGAGACGCCGGCUCCGGCGGCGGCGCCGUCGAUCGGCGAGGCGUACGGGCUGCUGACGCCGUCGGUGAAGGUGCAGCUGCUGAUCUACUUCAUGCUCAAGUUCUCCAUGGAGAUUCUGCUGUCGGAGUCGAGCGUGGUGACGAGCUACUACUUCGGGUGGAACACGAGCUCGGUGGCGGUGUUCCUGGCGGCGCUGGGGCUGACGGUGCUCCCCAUCAACGCCGUGGUGGGCACCUACAUCAGCAACAUGUUCGAGGACCGGCAGAUCCUGGUGGCGUCGGAGGCGGUGCUGCUGGCGGGCGUGGCGCUGAGCUUCCACGUGCCGGGGACGGCGUACACGGCGGCGCAGUACGUGUGCUCGGCGCUGCUGACGUUCGUGGCGGCGGAGGUGCUGGAGGGGGUGAACCUGUCGCUGCUGUCGCAGGUGAUGCCGGCGCGGCUGUCCCGCGGGACGUGGAACGGCGGGCUGCUGUCGACCGAGGCCGGCACGCUGGCGCGGGUGGCCGCCGACGGGACCAUCACGCUGGCCGGGUACCUGGGGCAGGGGGCGCUGCUGAACGCCACGCUGCUGCCGUCGCUGCUCAUCUGCGCCGCGUCCAUCGCCGCCACGCUCUCCACCUACAACUCGCUCUUCUACUAG
rnacentral:rRNA from 1 species